rnacentral:lncRNA from 1 species
AUUUUUCUGACUUCCUGAAAUAUGUUUUCAGAUAUAUUUAAAUUUUUAGGGUUUGGGGUUUUGCUUGUUUCUUAGUUUGUUGUUUCAUUUUUAGUUUUUUGUUGUUGUUGUUGUUGUUAUUUGUUUGUUUGUUUGUUUGUUUUCUAAAAAUAGAUGAAGAGUUGUAUUUACAGGAGUAAGAAAUUGCUUGAGAGAGCAGGAUUGGUUAUUUUAAGUAAUUACUCUUCUGAUACAAUGCUUUAUUUUGUCACAGGACACGUGAGUGAAACACUAAUUUAACAUUUUAUAUACCUAAGUCAAUAUAUAACCUUGAACCAGAAUAACUGAACCUGGAGUGUCAAUUAUUUUUCUGGGAAGAGUGAUCUGCAGUUGGCUUAUAUAGCAGAUUGUUGCAGAUAAACACAUUGUAUGUCACUAUUUUAAUGUUAUCACAAGAAAUUUUAUUAUGCUGGUAUUAUGUAAAACAUCUCUGAAGCAGCCCUGAAAAUGCUUUUAAACUCAGUGUAGUGGCUUUACAUGGCAAGGUUUUGGUAGCAGGGGGCCAUAGGGGUGGUUUCUGUGAGAAGGAUCUAGAAGCUGCCCCAUGUUUGGGAAGGGCCCCACGGCCGACCAGAGCCGAGCCAAUAAGCGAUGUUGUUUUUUGCCUCUGUGAGAGCUUAUUUAAGACAGGGAAAAAAACGCUGCGCCACACAGCAGCUGGGAGAGUGAGAGCAGUGAGGAACAGCCUUGCAGGUGCCAAGGUCAGUGUAGAAGGAGGGGGAGAGGUGCUCCAGGCGCCGGAGCAGAAGUCCCCUGUGGCCUGUGGUGAGGACCACGGUGAAGCAGGAUGUCCCCCUGUAGCCCAUGGAGUACCACGGUGGAGCAGGGUUCCACGCUGCAGCCCGUGGAGGAGACCACGGUGGAGCAGGUGGCCCUGCACCGACGGAGGCUGCCGCCUGUGGAAGACCCCUGCCAGAGCAGAUUCCGGACCAGACCUGUAGCCCAUGGAGAGGAGACCACGCAGGAGCAGGUGACCUGGCAGGAGCUGCUGCCUGUGGGAGGCCCACGCCAGAUCAGUUCAUCAAGGACUGCAUCCUGUGGGUGGGACCCCACAGCACAGGGGACGAGAGUGACCGAGAAGGAGCGGCAGAGAAGAAGUGCUGUAGACUGACCAUAACCCCCAUUCCCCUGUCCCCCUGCACCACUCGGGGGGGAGGAGGUGGAAGAGGAUGGAUGGGGGGGAAGGUGCUUUUGGUUUCUUUCCUUUGUUUCUCACUUCUCUGGCUUGUUAGUAAUAAGCAAUAAAUCUUACUAUCUCCCUAUGCCGAGUCUGUUUUGCCCAUCACAAUAAUUACCUUGUCCUGAUCUCAACCCUUGAGCCCUUUUCAUCGUAUUUUCUCCCUGUUCCUCUUUGAACAGGGGGAGUGAGAGAGCGGCUGUGGUGGAGCUUGGCUGCCCACUUCAGUAGAACCACCACACUCAGUAAAGGUGAAAGAAACUGAAUUACCAAGAUACAGUUCCAGGCUAAUUUCCCACGAACCAUGAUCAUAUGUUACGUUCCAGAGGCAGUGAAAUCUAUCUGUCCACCUACAUACAUACAUACAUACAUACAUACAUAAAUAAAUAAAUAAAUAAAUAAAUAAAUGCA